rnacentral:rRNA from 1 species
CCUACGGGAGGCAGCAGUGGGGAAUAUUGGGCAAUGGGCGCAAGCCUGACCCAGCAAAGCCGCGUGAAGGAAGAAGGCGUUCGGGGUGUAAACUUCUUUUGUCAGGGACGAAACAAGUGACGGUACCUGACGAAUAAGCCACGGCUAACUACGUGCCAGCAGCCGCGGUAAUACGUAGGUGGCAAGCGUUAUCCGGAUUUAUUGGGUGUAAAGGGCGUGUAGGCGGGAAUGCAAGUCAGAUGUGAAAACUAUGGGCUCAACCCAUAGCCUGCAUUUGAAACUGUAUUUCUUGAGUGCUGGAGAGGCAAUCGGAAUUCCGGGUGUAGCGGUGAAAUGCGUAGAUAUACGGAGGAACACCAGUGGCGAAGGCGGAGUGCUGGACAGUAACUGACGCUGAGGCGCGAAAGCGUGGGGAGCAAACAGGAUUAGAUACCCGAGUAGUC